rnacentral:rRNA from 1 species
UGUCAUCUUUAUCUCUCCACCUGUGCACCUUUUGUAGAUCUGGAUAUCUUUCUGAAUGCCUGGCAUUCAGGUUUGAGGAUUGACUCGUCUUNCCUAACAUUUCCAGGCCUAUGUUUCUUCAUAUACACCAUGUAUGUUAUAGAAGGUAAUGACAAGGGCCUUUGUGCCUACAAACUUAUACAACUUUCAGCAACGGAUCUCUUGGCUCUGGCAUGGAUGAAGAACGCAGCGAAAUGCGAUAAGUAAUGUGAAUNGCAGAAUUCAGUGAAUCAUCGAAUCUUUGAACGCACCUUCCGCUCCUUGGUAUUCCGAGGAGCAUGCCUGUUUGAGUGUCAUUAAUAUAUCAACCUCCUCAGGUUUUUACUUGUCGAGUGUAUGGAUGUGGGGGUUUCUUUAGCUGGUCUCUUUUGAGAUCGGCUCCCCUGAAAUGCAUUAGCGGAACAAUUUGUUGACCCGUUCAUUGGUGUGAUAACUAUCUACACUAUUGACGUGAAGCAGGUUCAGCUUCUAACAGUCCAUUAACUUGGACAAA